GGUUGGUCCAAGUGCAGUGGUGUUUAUAACUAAUUGAUCACAACCAGUUACAGAUUCCUUUGUUCAUUCUCCACUCCUACUACUUCACUUGACCAGCCUUUA
rnacentral:Y_RNA from 1 species